AGUUCUCAACCAUAUUGAUUUGCUUUGAUGUGGAUUGGAUAUGGGGUUUGCAGGCCUUUUAAAAAGGGUCUGCUUUCCUAAAAUAAAUUAGUGGUGUCUGAGCAGAGACUUACUACAGGUGUGAUAACUAUCUAUGCCUUUGUAAAACACUGUGCACACUGCUUCAAAUCUCAUUGUUGACCA
rnacentral:misc_RNA from 1 species